AGUCAAAAACGUGGACCAGAGGACAGGGUUGGCUGUGAUAAAAUCUGUGCCCACCUCCCUGCCCAGGACACAUGAGGCGAUAUGGGCAGCAGCGUUAUUGAAAAAAGCCCCUACAGAAGAGUGUGACGAUAGUUCGGCCGUUC